rnacentral:rRNA from 1 species
GACGAACGCUGGCGGCGUGCCUAACACAUGCAAGUCGAACGGGGCACCUUCGGGUGCUUAGUGGCGAACGGGUGAGUAACGCGUGAGAAACCUGCCUUUCAGAGGGGGACAACAGUUGGAAACGACUGCUAAUACCGCAUAACGUAUAUUUAUGGCAUCGUAGAUAUACCAAAGGAGCAAUCCGCUGAAAGAUGGACUCGCGUCCGAUUAGGUAGUUGGUGAGGUAAUGGGCUCACCAAGCCGACGAUUGGUAGCCGGACUGAGAGGUUGAACGGCCACAUUGGGACUGAGACACGGCCCAGACUCCUACGGGAGGCAGCAGUGGGGAAUAUUGCACAAAUGGGCGAAAAGCCUGAUGCAGCAACGCCGCGUGAGGGAAGAC